UACGGGGGGGGCAAGCGUUGUUCGGAAUUACUGGGCGUAAAGCGUACGUAGGCGGUUAGGUAAGUCUGCUAUUAAAGACCGGGGCUCAACUUCGGGAAUGUAGUGGAAACUGCCAAGCUAGAGGACAAUAGAGGAAGUCGGAAUUCUCAGUGUAGCGGUGAAAUGCGUAGAUAUUGGGAAGAACACCAGUGGCGAAAGCGGACUUCUGGGUUGUUACUGACGCUGAGGUACGAAAGCGUGGGGAGCAAACGGG
rnacentral:rRNA from 1 species